rnacentral:rRNA from 1 species
UGGAUCCAGACUUUGAUUAUGGCUCAGGACGAACGCUGGCGGCGCGCCUAACACAUGCAAGUCGAACGGAGAUUACAGGCGGAAGUUUUCGGAUGGAAGCUUGUAAACUUAGUGGCGGACGGGUGAGUAACACGUGAGCAACCUGCCUAUCAGAGGGGGAUAACGAUUGGAAACGAUCGCUAAUACCGCAUGACAUAGCGGAACCGCAUGGUUUUGCUAUCAAAGAUCUUGUCGCUGAUAGAUGGGCUCGCGUCCGAUUAGAUAGUUGGUGGGGUAACGGCCUACCAAGUCGACGAUCGGUAGCCGGACUGAGAGGUCGAACGGCCACAUUGGGACUGAGACACGGCCCAGACUCCUACGGGAGGCAGCAGUGGGGGAUAUUGCACAAUGGGGGAAACCCUGAUGCAGCGACGCCGCGUGAGGGAAGACGGUCCUCUGGAUCGUAAACCUCUGUCUUCGGGGACGAAACGAGACGGUACCCGAGGAGGAAGCCACGGCUAACUACGUGCCAGCAGCCGCGGUAAUACGUAGGUGGCAAGCGUUGUCCGGAAUUACUGGGUGUAAAGGGAGCGUAGGCGGGCAGGCAAGUCAGGCGUGAAAUAUAUCGGCUCAACCGGUAACGGCGCUUGAAACUGCAGGUCUUGAGUGAAGUAGAGGUUGGCGGAAUUCCUAGUGUAGCGGUGAAAUGCGUAGAUAUUAGGAGGAACACCAGUGGCGAAGGCGGCCAACUGGGCUUUUACUGACGCUGAGGCUCGAAAGUGUGGGGAGCAAACAGGAUUAGAUACCCUGGUAGUCCACACCGUAAACGAAGAUUACUAGGUGUGGGGGGACUGACCCCUUCCGUGCCGGAGUUAACACAAUAAGUAAUCCACCUGGGGAGUACGGCCGCAAGGUUGCAACUCAAAGGAAUUGACGGA